rfam:Cavia porcellus supercont2_71 genomic scaffold, whole genome shotgun sequence.
GAAUGUGAGGGUGAUCUGGCUACAAUACCUGUUACCCCAUUGACCCCCAGAGUUGACUUGGCUGAUCUGACUGGUUAGGCUGGUAUCCACUUCCUCCCUCACCACUCCAUAUGUGUUCCUUCCAAAGUUGCACUUCAAAGAGGACAAACACCUCCAAAAGACCAUGUCUAAGAGGUAAAGGGUAUACAAGUGGCUGUACUCCCCUAUUAGAGCUUCCAAAUAAACUCUCGAGGUCUAAAAAAAAAAAAACAAGCAGAGAUGGAGACACUGUCACAGACCAGAGGAAACUAACUAAAUAUGAUGACUAAAUGCAAUGU